AUUUCAGCGGCAGCAGCAGCGAUGUCGUCGAACGUUGCAGCAGUUGCUGAAGUGCUGACGUUGGCGACUGCCCCGGCGGUCGCAGAUGAUGCUGUAGUAGCAGCAGUAGAUGUUGCAGUAGUGUUGAUUGGGAGACUACUUGAAGAGCUUGCACGAUGAAAGAGCGAACAAGUCUAGAAGAGAUCGAAGAGGCUGAAGAGGUCUUUUUGGUGGUGGUGAUAGUGGUGAUUUUUUUGGUUGUGGUGAUGGCUGUAGUUGUGGUGGUGGUUUUGGUGGUGGAGUUGAUGGUUGCACUAAUUUCAAUAGUAGAACUACUAGUAGAAGGUUGGUUAGAUGAAGUUCUGUGGCGGAAGUUGCUGACGUUGAGUUUCAUAGAAGAGCUUGCCCUGAAAUUUGGUUGAUCACCGUUGGUUAAAAUUGGCUUGAACAGAAUGGUUUUAAAUUGUUUAAAGUGUACGCUAAAUACAAAAUUGCCUACAGAGGAAAUAAUGCAAGUGGCAACUGGUCUAACAGAAAGCAGAAAUAUCAACAAUAAUAAACGGUUAAAUGAUCUGCAAUUGCCACCUAAAAAAAUAUUGACAAAAUGCUAGCGUUUCAAUGAAACGCUAUUUUGUGUUGUUAAAGAUCUCAGUUAAUGACUGUGUUCCUGCUCGUCGUUUAGACACAAUUGGAACAGCGAAAUUCUAUUUUUAUAACAGGCACAACAAAAUCCUAUCAAACCAAAAAUAGAGAAAGUUUACCUGUAGGAGCGACGGGGUCGUCUGGUUCUAUCGUCCCGCCGUGUGCGACCGGAGGACAUCUCCACCCGGAUGCGUGUUCCACAGCAUCUCCUGCGGAGCAUAAAAGAGAAGGUCGUUUCGUUACAUAAACCACAGUUCAAAUUCAUUCACUUACGUUCCAUCCAGCGAACGAACCGCAUCCUCGGCAUCGCGUUUGUCCUCGAACUCCACGAAGGCAAAACCCGGAGGAUUGCGGGCAACCCAAACGUUGCGCAGUGGACCAUACUUUCCGAAGGCGCUCUCAAUUUCGUGCUUCGAAGCCGACGAGCCCAGAUUGCCGACGUAUACCUUACACUGGAGAUCCCAUUCACGGUAGCGUGCCAUCGUCGUGUCCUAUUUUCUGUUGAAAAAGAUGAAGGCCAACACACAACACCGCAGAAAAAAAAACUACGACGGAAUUGCAAAAUAAACUGGACGACGACGCGGUGACCUUUCACAGCACAGCAGCUCAAAAUGGCUGCCAUGAACAGGAAAAACUUUUCCAUCGACACUCCCCGAGGGCAAAUGCUUUCGAAGCGAAAACCUAGACGAAACUCCCGUGAUCGAACGCAAAAAUACUUACAGUGAAAAGAAGCUACUACUGUUGAACUUUAUGAAAUAAAUUGAACACGAUUUAU